UACGUAGGGUGCGAGCGUUGUCCGGAAUUACUGGGCGUAAAGAGCUCGUAGGUGGUUUGUCGCGUUGUCCGUGAAAUUCCCUGGCUUAACUGGGGGCGUGCGGGCGAUACGGGCAGACUGGAGUACUGCAGGGGAGACUGGAAUUCCUGGUGUAGCGGUGGAAUGCGCAGAUAUCAGGAGGAACACCGAUGGCGAAGGCAGGU
rnacentral:rRNA from 1 species